GGGAGGUUAUUUAAGGAGAGGUGUGUCCAGUUAGGAUCCCUUUGUUUGAGCCUUGCCUUGCUGCCACACAAAAUUGGGGCAAAACCUAGUUAAUUGAAGCCACAUAGACUUUGUUUGUCCUCAAAAGAGUGAAUUACUACUCCUGAGGGUUAUGAUAAAGAAAGCCCAGGCCUCUCCUUUCAUUGUGGAUGCAUUAAAAUGAAUCAUCCGUCCAUCCAUCCAUCCAUCUACCCCCCUGUUAUCCAGUGCUCAAUAAAUGGUUAAACGGCUCUUGAAUCCCUGUGUUUAAAUGUUCACACCAUUCCACAAUUCUAUGACCCAGCUUUCUCUAUUAUAUCUAGUUGGAUAAUACUAGACAGUCUUUUUCAUAUUUCGUUAUUUAUAUAUUUAUGUAUUUAUUGUAAAGGUGCAGAUAGUUUAUGUAUAUCUUCAUUACAACCUGCUAGAGGACACAUGGAAAUUAGCUUUCAGCUAAAUCUGGUCCAAUCUGGUGCCAAAUACCCGUGCCACUAUCCUCACACUGGAACAUGUAGAGUGAGGUUACCUGAUCUUUGUAUUGCUGUGCCUGCUUCCUCUCAUCCUCCAUCUGAAUGGUCAGAUCCUUAAUCUUCUUCUCUUUCUGACGCAGACCCUUGGCAUUGGCCUGGCGUUCUCUACACAACAAGAUGGACACAGUGUCAUAAUGUCAUCACAGCACUUCUACUGUAAUACACAUGGAGUAGUCAGUUAAGCUGUGAAAAAGAAAACAGCCUUUACAAACUGAAUGAUUCGCAUUCAGGUUAAACCCAGGAUGACACCAGUGCUAUUUCCAGUUAUAAUAAUAAAACAUUCAUUCAUACUCAUGCAUCUCCCAUACCUGAGAUGUGUGAAUUGGAACUGUCCUUGAACUCCAUUUCCCAGCAUCCCACCUACCUGUUCUCAAUCUCCAGCUUCUCCUCAGCCUCCCUCAGCUUGGUCUCCAGGGCGGUGACAGUGGACUUGAGUUUGGAGCGGCCCUGGCCCUCAGUCUCCUGCAGUUUGACCUUCAGCUCUCGGUUUUGUCUCUCCAGCUGCUGUCUGGAUCCCUCCUUGCUCUGGGACGAAGAGCGCUCAGCUGCCAGCUCGGCACCCAGCUGGUCCAUCUGAAUGACACGAGGUUAUGAUCACAGUCGUUUUAGUGAGCAUGUGAAAGUACAAGAAAGAAACACACAGAGCUUAAAGCAAUAAAGGCUUUUGUGUCUGAAA